AGAGAACGAUCAGCCACACUGGAACUGAGACACGGUCCAGACUUCUACGGAGGGCAGCAGUAGGGAAUCUUGCGCAAUGGGGGAGACCCUGACGCAGCGACGCCGCGUGCGGGAUGACGGCCCUAGUGGUUGUAAACCGCUUUCAGCAGGGACGAAAAUGACGGUACCUGCAGAAGAAGUCCCGGCUAACUACGUGCCAGCAGCCGCGGUAAUACGUAGGGGACAAGCGUUGUCCGGAUUCAUUGGGCGUAAAGAGCUCGUAGGCGGUUCAGUAAGCUGGGUGUGAAAGCUCCGGGCUCAACCCGGAGAGGCCACUCAAUACUGCUGUGACCAGAGUCCAGUAGAGGAGCGUGGAACUCCUGGUGUAGCGGUGAAAUGCGCAGAUAUCAGGAAGAACACCGGCAGCGAAGGCGGCGCUCUGGGCUGGCACUGACGCUGAGGAGCGAAAGCAUGGGUAGCAAACAGGAUUAGAUACCCUGGUAGUCCAUGCCGUAAACGUUGGGCACUAGGUGUGGGAGGGAAUCAACCCCUUCUGUGCCGUAGCUAACGCAUUAAGUGCCCCGCCUGGGGAGUACGGAAUCUC
rnacentral:rRNA from 1 species